GACGAACGCUGGCGUCGUGCUUAACACAUGCAAGUCGAACGAUGAAGCCGGAGCUUGCUCUGGUGAAUUAGUGGCGAACGGGUGAGUAACACGUGAGUAACCUGCCCUUGACUCUGGGAUAACUGCGGGAAACUGUAGCUAAUACCGGAUACGACCCUCGGAGGCAUCUCCUGGGGGUGGAAAGAAUUUCGGUCAAGGAUGGACUCGCGGCCUAUCAGCUAGUUGGUGAGGUAAAGGCUCACAAAGGCGACGACGGGUAGCCGGCCUGAGAGGGUGACCGGCCACACUGGGACUGAGACACGGCCCAGACUCCUACGGGAGGCAGCAGUGGGGAAUAUUGCACAAUGGGCGCAAGCCUGAUGCAGCAACGCCGCGUGAGGGAUGACGGCCUUCGGGUUGUAAACCUCUUUUAACAGGGAGGAAGCGAAAGUGACGGUACCUGCAGAAAAAGCACCGGCUAACUACGUGCCAGCAGCCGCCGUAA
rnacentral:rRNA from 1 species